AUGGGAGAAGCAAGCUCGGAUGAUCUUUGCCAUUGUCAAGGGUGUCUUGGCAAGUACACCCUACUCAGAGAUGAAGAGAACCCGCAGCUGGCAAGGUUUGAGAGACGGCUUCCUUGCUUUGGUUGCGGAAUAGGAUGGUCCUCAUUUCUUUUAGGUUUCUUGUGUCCAUUGCUUUGGUACUAUGCAACGACCCUUUACUGCUGCAAGUACUACAAUAGGGAUCCCCGAGAGCGCCCGGGUCUUGCUGCCUCUGCUAUUGCGGCGGCCAUCUUCACUACUGCGGCAACUAUUACCCUCUCCAUCAUUCUGAUAAUCUGGGCACAAAAGUGA
rnacentral:rRNA from 1 species